rnacentral:rRNA from 1 species
UACGUAGGGGGCUAGCGUUGUCCGGAAUCAUUGGGCGUAAAGAGCGCGUAGGCGGCCAGAUAAGUCCGGUGUGAAAGUCACAGGCUCAACCUGUGAAUGCCGCUGGAAACUGUCUGGCUAGAGUCCGGGAGGGGCGAGUGGAAUUCCUGGUGUAGCGGUGGAAUGCGCAGAUAUCCGGAGGAACACCGAUGGCGAAGGCAGGUCUCUGGGCCACUACUGACGCUGAGACGCGAAAGCGUGGGGAGCGAACAGG